rnacentral:rRNA from 1 species
GGAGGGCAAGUCUGGUGCCAGCAGCCGCGGUAAUUCCAGCUCCAAUAGCGUAUAUUAAAGUUGUUGCAGUUAAAAAGCUCGUAGUUGAACCUUGGGCCUGGCUGACCGGUCCGCCUCACCGCGUGCACUGGUUCGGCCGGGCCUUUCCUUCUGGGGAGCCGCAUGCCCUUCACUGGGUGUGUCGGGGAACCAGGACUUUUACUUUGAAAAAAUUAGAGUGUUCAAAGCAGGCCUAUGCUCGAAUACAUUAGCAUGGAAUAAUAGAAUAGGACGUGUGGUUCUAUUUUGUUGGUUUCUAGGAUCACCGUAAUGAUUAAUAGGGAUAGUUGGGGGCAUUAGUAUUCAAUUGUCAGAGGUGAAAUUCUUGGAUUUAUUGAAGACUAACUUCUGCGAAAGCAUUUGCCAAGGAUGUUUUCAUUAAUCAAGAACGAAAGUUAGGGGAUCGAAGACGAUCAGAUACCGUCGUAGUCUUAACCAUAAACUAUGCCGACUAGGGAUCGGACAAUGUUAAUUUUUUAAUGACUCGUUCGGCGCCUUACGGGAAAC